UACUGCAUCACUGCUCCUCACAGUUUAAGUUCUCCUGUCACAGAGAGUCUGAACUGUUUUCAUGCACUCACACUGAAAACUGCAUCAGGAUGAUGUUGUCAAUAACUCUGAUUGUCGUGUUGGGUUUUCUGAGUCAGGAGACUUCUGCAAACAAGUUUCUGACUCAGGCUGACAAAUCCAAGUCUGUUAGUGUUGGAGGGACCGUGAGCAUCAGCGCCACAGGGAGUUCAGAUAUUGAUGAUGAUCUCAGUUGGUACCUUCAGAAACCUGGACAGGCUCCCAAACUCCUUAUAUACCAAGCAUCAACUCUCUUCUCAGGGACUGCGUCUCGAUUCAGUGGCAGUAGAUCUGGUUCUCACUACACUUUAACCAUCACAGGUGUUCAGACUGACGAUGCUGGAGAUUACUUCUGUCUGGGCUACCAUGGUAGCUAUGUGUUCACACAGUGA